ACAAUUCACAUUUCACUCCGGGCAACCUAUAAAUUUAUAGUAAAAGUCGUCGCUACCAGCUGAUACGUCCACUGUUAGUCCAAUUAACCCAGAAACCACUCACAAAUGUUUUGGAGUAUUAAGAAAGAAUAUGCUGGCAGGAAGACUAUUGUUUUUCCCAGUUAUUUUUAAAAAAACAUUCUUAACAGGGUUUUUCCUCCAAGCUCAGGGUUUGUAGGGUUUUUAUGGUUUCAUUCUGUUAGCGCCAAAAAUCAUGGCGGGGAGCGUAGAUAAGUUGACCACGAUUUGGGUGGUGGUUAUGGUAUUCAUAAAUGGAGUAAAUCGUGGUGCCUCAAAUCACAAAUACAGUAAGGGAGAUUUGUUGCCAUUAUAUUCUAACAAAUUCGGCCCCUUCAAUAAUCCCAUGAGAGUAUCACUUGGAUUUGAUAGCCAGCUAUAGAGAAGUUCCAAUCAUUGAGUUGUACAACAAUGCUAGAUGCUUUUGAGCCUUUUCAUGGAGUUCUUCUUUGUGAAGGGGAGGACAUGGAUCCUUCCCUCUAUGAGAAUUAAAAUGGUUUAUCUCAUGAUGAAUUGGAUAAAAUAAGGAAAUUACACAUCAAUGAUACUGCCAUUGACAGAGCAAAUGACUCCAUUGAAUUUUUGCUUGCUCAACACUGCCUUGAAAGGAACAUACCUUAUUUGGGUAUAUACAGAGGAUCUCAACUCCUCAAUGUAGCUUGUGGGGGAACCCUAUAUCAGGAUGUUGAGAAGAGGUGUCUGAAAAAUCAGGUUUUGAUAUUAAGCAUAUAAACUAUGAUAAUUAUGAUGGGUUUAGGCACCCUAUCAAAGCGGUAGAAGAUACUCCACUUCAUUCCUAGUUUCAAGAUUCAUUAGGAGUCGUCAUGAAUAUGGAUAUUAUGGUUAAUAGCUACUAUCAUCAAAUAUAUAUAGCUCAAUGGCUUUUAUUCAACAAAAUAUUCAGUUUUUUUCCACCACCCACUCACAUUUUUCUCUGAUUUCCAGGGAAUAAAGAGAUUGGCAGAGAUAUUCAUACUAAUGGCAUGUGGCCUAGAUGGUUUGAUUGAAGCAUUUUAUGACCCAAAUGCAUACAAUCGAGAGGAACAAAAAUUCAUAAUGGGUCUGCAAUUCCACCCUGAAAGAAUGUGCCAUGAUGGCCAAAACUGCACAGAGAAUAUUUUUGACUAUCUAGGAUGCCCAAGGCUUUAUGAGGAAUUUGUAAGAGUCGUUGUUGCAUAUCAGAUAAAGUUGGUGGUCUGCAGUUGAGAACGUAAAAUUGUGGAAGUGGGUGGUGAAAUAGAAAAACAGAGCAAGAGAAUAGUGAGGAGUUAUUCCAUAACCAAGUUGAUAUAUGAAAAUUAAACAAUUUCCAAUCCCUCUGCGAAAGCCUUAGAUUUACAUCCUGGAGCAUUAUUUUUUCAGGUACACAAGAAAAGGUUGUUGAAGCAUAUGCCAUUGCCGCCAUCAAAUUCAGAGGUCUUAAUGCUGCAACAAAUUUUGAUAUGAGCAGAUAUGAUGUGAAAACUAUAAUUGAAAGAAGCACAUUACCCAUUAGAGGAGCUGUAAAAUGUAUCAAGGAAGCCAAUAUAUUUUAUCUAAGUGUUGAAUGUUGUCGAACAGAUGAGGACAUGAAUUCACAAAUCAAUACCUUAACCAGUUACACCAAUGAUCAUGGUAAUUACCCAAGUGGGAAUGCAAGAUGGCCUAUGAUUGCAUUUCAACAACAUGCAUUCAAUGUGAUUUGCAAUGGCUCUGUUGGAAUUUUGUAAAUUCUCUAAUAGAAUAAUGUAUAUGAUAGUUCCAAUAGAAAUAUUUAGGGGACAUCAAAUGAUCCUAUCGAGGGGAAAUGAACUAUCCUAUUUUAUUUUUAUGGGUUAGCCAGCAUUCAGCUCCAAAUGCAACCAUUGUACAAAACACAUUUUAAUACAUUGAAACAA